CCAGCCUCAUCAGUGCUCAUUAGUGGGACGGAGCAGAGAGCCUUAAUUCACGAGUGAAAACAGUGGUUUAUGCAGACCAGCGGCGGGAGGAGGGAGACGCCGCUCGCUCCUCCCGCCUCCCUGGCUACCCCCGUUUUUCACGCCCUUCCCGCCCCUCGCACGCCCCUCCGUCCGGAUAUUGAUUCCUCCUGACGACGUCGCUGGGGACGCCACGCCGGACACCACCACCACCACCACCACUACUACCACCACCACCACCACCACCACCACCACCACUACUACCAGGUUCAAGAUCUCAUUACAGUGGGGACCUUCAGGCUGCCUCAUCUACCGAAGUCUCUCCCCAGCAGUGUCUCUUCCACCUCCUCAUCCCCCCAUUCUCCUCCUCCUCCUCCUCCUCCUCCUCCUCCUCCUCCUCCUCCUCCUCCUCUUUCUCCUCUUCCUCUUCCUCUUUUCUUCCUCCUCCCUGCGGUGCGUGUGGUGUAGUGUGGCUGGGAGGCGCGGCACCAAGGUCAAGGGUGUUAAUGGCAAGGUGUUGACCCCAAAACUAGCUCUUCGUGACCUUGGUGAGGCUGUGACGGCUGCCCUUUGUGUGUUUGACUUAGUGCUGUGACCCUGUGUGUGUGUGUGUGUGUGUGUGUGUGUGUGUGUGUGUGUGUGUGUGUGUGUGUGUGGCGGGGGGUGGAGGUGAGCUUCCCCUUCUCUUUCCCUAUCCUUCUUCCUCCUUCAUCUCCUCCUUCUCCUCCUCCUGCUGCGUCUCCUCCUCCGUCAGUGUGGUGCUCCGGCCUGAAGAUCAUCUGCUGUGCGUGCCACAAUGAACUACGCCAAAAAGAAAGCAACAUUACACACACACACACACACACACACACACACACACACACACACACACACACACACACACACACACACCCUACAAGGUGGACAACUCAGAGAGGAGGAGAGACUUGGACCAAUAAAAAAACGAAGAAAGAAAAAUGAAAGGAAAAGAAAAUUGCGUGAUAGAUAUGGAGAGAGGAGAGACACUGCCAUUUCACAUCUGUUAUGCAUAUGAGAAAUGACGACGUGCAGGUGUGGAGGAAGAUAAACAGAUGUAAGGGAGGUGUGCUAUGAUCAGGAAAGGUGGGAGGAUUAUCAGAACAGGUGUGUGGGGAGAUAAACAAACAUGUAGCAAAAACAACAGGUAUGGGAGGAAGAUAAAGAACGAGAGGAGAAAAAGGAGGAAGAUAAAAUAGGAGAAAGGAGGGAGAUAAAAGAGAAGGGAAGGAAGGAGGAAGUAAGAAGAUAAAAGGGGAAGGAAGAAAGGAGGAUGAAGAGAUAAAGGAAGGGGUGAAAGGAGAAAGGAUGGAGAUAAAAGAGGAAGGAAGAAACGAGAUAGAUAGAUAAAUAGAUAGAUAGAUAGAUAGAUAGAUAGAUAGAUAGAUAGAUAGAUAGAUAGAUAGACAGAGAGAGAGAGAGAGAGAGAGAGAGAGAGAGAGAGAGAGAGAGAGAGAGAGAGAGAGAGAGAGAGAGAGAGAGAGAGAGGAACAAGAUAAAAAAAAGGAAAAGGAGAGAAGGAAGGAAGAUAUGCAGUAGUUGGAGGGGAGAUAAACACGGAAUGAAGAAGGAAGAAGACACAGGUGAGAUGUAGAAGAGAAGACAAAAAAAAAAAAGGUGUAGGAAAAGAAGACAGACAGAUUCCUCCAGCUUGUUCUCAUAUCCUCAGCCAAUCUUCUCCCUUCCCUCUCCAUUGACUGAAUGAUACUUUGAAGCAGCAACAAAAGAUCAUAAUGGUGUCAUGAAUCAAUGACAACCUUUAUUCCGGUUCCUACUCUUGGUGGCAACACAGUGCAUCCCUACCAUUGUGUGUUGGAAUAGACGGGAUGGAGUAAGGGUCGUAUCAUCUGAUUUUUGUGGUCAUGUGGUCUUUUUCUUUUCUUUUUUUUAGGGUGCCAAACUAUCAGUCAUUUAUUCAAUUCAUCAAUCACUAACCCUUGUUAUUAUUUUUCUCUUGUCUUCUGUCUUUUUUUCUUUACUUUAGUUUGUGUUAUUACCUUUCCUUCUGCCUUUUCUGCCUCACUUAUCCAUCUAUAUUUCCGAAUGCUUCUUUAUAUUUUUUAUAUUUUUUUCAGCCUCUUACAUUAGUUUCCUUCACUCUAGUUUCUUUCCCCACCUCUUCUCUUCAUGUCCUUCCUUCCAGCUUGUCUAGCCAUGUCUUCACUGUAUCUCCUCAGGUUUGCUUUCCUAUACCGUUUAUUUCCAGCCUUCCUUCCUGCUCCUCUCUCUCUCUCUCUCUCUCUCUCUCUCUCUCUCUCUGUCUCUCAGUCUUCACAUCCCCUUUCGUUCCGUCUCUCCUUCACUCACUUGAUCGGCUUCUCCCUCACGCAAAGAGACAGCCAGACCCUCCUCCCUUUGAGCGCCGCGUGCGUCCCUCAUUCAAUGUCCCCACAAGUUUGCGGGUCGCCCAGCCUCGCCCUAUUCACCUGGCCCGGCCUGGGGUGAGGCGGGGAAGGUGGUGUCAAGACGGGGAAUACACAGAAGGGGUGUGUAUUGGGAGAGAAGGUCACGUAUGGAUGAAGGUUAGAUGUGUGUGUGUAUGUGUGUGUGUGUGUGUGUGUGUGUGUGUGUGUGUGUGUGUGUGUGUGUGUGUGUGUGUGUGUGUAAGAGAACGAGGGAACAUAGGAAUAGUAGAUAAAUUUAUAGAUAAGGAAAGAAAAGUUUGUA